rnacentral:rRNA from 1 species
AUUAGCGGCGGACGGGUGAGUAAUACCUAGGAAUCUGCCUGGUAGUGGGGGACAACGUUUCGAAAGGAACGCUAAUACCGCAUACGUCCUACGGGAGAAAGCAGGGGACCUUCGGGCCUUGCGCUAUCAGAUGAGCCUAGGUCGGAUUAGCUAGUUGGUGGGGUAAUGGCUCACCAAGGCGACGAUCCGUAACUGGUCUGAGAGGAUGAUCAGUCACACUGGAACUGAGACACGGUCCAGACUCCUACGGGAGGCAGCAGUGGGGAAUAUUGGACAAUGGGCGAAAGCCUGAUCCAGCCAUGCCGCGUGUGUGAAGAAGGUCUUCGGAUUGUAAAGCACUUUAAGUUGGGAGGAAGGGCAUUAACCUAAUACGUUAGUGUUUUGACGUUACCGACAGAAUAAGCACCGGCUAACUCUGUGCCAGCAGCCGCGGUAAUACAGAGGGUGCAAGCGUUAAUCGGAAUUACUGGGCGUAAAGCGCGCGUAGGUGGUUCGUUAAGUUGGAUGUGAAAUCCCCGGGCUCAACCUGGGAACUGCAUCCAAAACUGGCGAGCUAGAGUAGGGCAGAGGGUGGUGGAAUUUCCUGUGUAGCGGUGAAAUGC